rnacentral:piRNA from 2 species
AAGGACUAUGGCAAAGAAUCUCAGG